GGAGCGGCCGCUUUGGUGUUUACAGAAAACACAAGAGUUGGUGAGAAAGAAGAAACAAAGAACGAAGGAGAAAUAGGCAGAAAGAUACCGGAAUGAGGCCGCGUGAAGAAGACCGGAAUGAGGCCGCGAGAAGGAGAAGAGACCGAGGAGGAGGGUGCGGCCGUGAGAGGAGGCUGUGAGAGUAGGAUGCGGCCGCGAGAUGAGGCUCCGGUUUCAACGGCGGUGGUGACAAUAUAAAGGUAUGAGUUUUCUCUUUAUCUAUCCUUUUUGUUUUUACACACAAAUUGAAAGUUUUCACUGUAAUAUUGCUCUUCUGAUUAGUAUCUUUUCCUAAUCAAUUUCUGAUCUCGCCUCUCUUUUUCUAUGCGUUUUUUAACUCAAUCGUGUUCUUCUCCCCCCAAAUUUUGAAAUUGAUAAGGUGCUUUUAUAGAGUUUUUUAUAUGUUUAGUUGCUUUCUAGUCUGCAUUGGUCCUUCUCUAUCUAUUUCCUGUUUGAUGUUUUUUUUCUUUGCUCAUCAUCUGCGUUUUUUUCUACACCUCUGAUGCAUUCAUGAUUUUGAUUUAUUUGCUUUGAUCUGUUCUGUUGCUGAGCUUUAAUUUGUCCCUUAGUUUAUUAUUUAAACUCAAAAUUUUGUCUCUUUGUUCUGCACAAAGUGUACCAAGACUGACUUAAAAAAAAAAAAAUGUUUUUAUGUUUCUCUAAUUAGUUACAAAGCAAAGGUCAAUGACAACUACAUCUGAAACAGAAGGGCAGCAACAAAAUAGAGCCAAACACUGUAUCAGAAACAGAGAGGCAGAGAGGCAACAACAUCAACAAAUUAAAAAUUAUUAUAAUUUAAUUUAGUUUGGUUUAAAUCUUAUUGUAAUUUAAUUUUGCCUUUAUUUUAGUUUGUAAUUUGAUUUGGUUUUAACAUUCUAAAUAGAUUUGAAAUUGUAAACUUAUAAUACAUAAUGAAAUUAUUUAUUGUAAUUA
rnacentral:lncRNA from 1 species